rnacentral:rRNA from 1 species
GACGAACGCUGGCGGCGUGCUUAACACAUGCAAGUCGAACGAUGAAGCCAGCUUGCUGGUGGAUUAGUGGCGAACGGGUGAGUAACACGUGGGUGAUCUGCCCCAAACUUUGGGAUAAGCCUGGGAAACUGGGUCUAAUACCGAAUAUGACCGAUACUCGCAUGGGUGUUGGUGGAAAGCUCCGGCGGUUUGGGAUGGGCCCGCGGCCUAUCAGCUUGUUGGUGGGGUAAUGGCCUACCAAGGCGACGACGGGUAGCCGGCCUGAGAGGGCGACCGGCCACACUGGGACUGAGACACGGCCCAGACUCCUAUGGGAGGCAGCAGUGGGGAAUAUUGCACAAUGGGCGCAAGCCCGAUGCAGCGACGCCGCGUGAGGGAUGACGGCCUUCGGGUUGUAAACCUCUUUCACCAGGGACGAAGCGAAAGUGACGGUACCUGGAGAAGAAGCACCGGCCAACUACGUG